GACGAACGCUGGCGGCGUGCCUAAUACAUGCAAGUAGAACGCAGUUGCGAACGGGUGAGUAACGCGUAGGUAACUGCCUCAUAGCGGGGGAUAACCUGCGGAAACGAUAGCUAAUACCCCAUACUGUGAGAUGGACCUGCGUUGUAUUAGCUAGUUGGUGGGGUAAAGGCUCACCAAGGCGACGAUACAGAGCCGACCUGGGAGGGGGAACGGCCAACAUGGGACUGGAGAACGGCCCCGGCACCGACGGGAGGGAGGAGUGGGGAAUCUUCGGAAAUGGGCGGAAGUCUGGCGAAGCAACGCCGCGGGGGUGAAGAAGGUUUUCGGGGCGUAAAGCUCUGUUGUUAGAGAAGCGGUAACUAACCAGAAAGGGACGGCUAACUACGUGCCAGCAGCCGCGGUAAUAC
rnacentral:rRNA from 1 species